rnacentral:rRNA from 1 species
UACGGAGGGUGCAAGCGUUGCUCGGAAUUACUGGGCGUAAAGAGCGCGUAGGCGGUUAUACAAGUCAGGGGUGAAAUCCCGGAGCUUAACUCCGGAACUGCCUUUGAAACUGUAUAGCUGGAGUGUGUGAGGGGAUAGCGGAAUUCCUAAUGUAGAGGUGAAAUUCGUAGAUAUUAGGAGGAACACCGGUGGCGAAGGCGGCUAUCUGGCACACAACUGACGCUGAGGCGCGAAAGCGUGGGGAUCAAACAGG